UUGAUUCAUUUCGUCCGCUCCUGGGAGCGCCGAGAGGCUCAGAGGUGGUGCACCGUCGGUGAUUCAGGAGGGUUUGGGGGUCCUCCGGCGGGCGCCUUGGCCCGGGGCUGCGACGCGCCCGGGGCGAUCCCGCCGAGGCAACAGGGGUAGCGUUCACACUGGGGGUUUGGGAGCUGUAAACUCGGUAAUGAUCCCUCCGCUGGUUCACCAACGGAGA
rnacentral:misc_RNA from 1 species